UAAAAGUACUGAUUAUUUACAUGGAGUCUGGUGGAGUCUAUCUCUGUAGGGAUCCUUUCAUAAUGUUGUCACACACUUAGAAUAAUAAUCUGAGUCUGUCAGCAGCAACAACAGAACUUUUAGUGGACGUUUAAGUGACAUUUUGCCAUCAUUUCAAAGACAAAUUCAGCAGGUUCAACAGAUUCAGCAACUGCACGGCCUAUUUCUCGCUCAAAAUCUUUUCAGAAACACGUUUCGGUGAACUAUUUUCCUAAAAUAUGAGAUCGUCAUGUUGGUCCGUUUAGAAAUCCUGGGGGGGCAGACAUCCCCACGUGUAGUGUUCGUCCAAUCAGCUGCGGCCAUCGCGAUUGCAGGAGGGCAGAGCCUGUUUUCUUUGCACGUCAUUGGUCAGUGAAGAGAAACUGAUGACUGCUAGUGGCGAGAACAGUGGCGUGCAAUGCUGAGAACAAGCGGGGCGAUCCCUUCCGUUUAAAUAGAAAUGCGUAAAUGGACACGUACCAUAAGUGUUAGUCAGCCAUCGACAGAGAGAAAGCAACACGUCAGGACAAACUGAGGUACAGCAGGAAUCAGAUUGUAAAAAUGGAACUUUUUGCCCAAAUAAGUGAAGCUGUAUUCAUGUUAUUUUAAUGCCGAAUUCAGCAGAAGACACUUAAAGUAAACACUGACUUGUUUACAGCUUUUUCCAUUUAAUGUAACGUUGGUUCCAAGCAAGGCGAAAAUUAAACGGACACAUUUCUGAAGGGAGUCUGGUGACGUUUACGCCAAUAACUGUGUGUGAAUCAGGAAGAGUAAGAAAUGACCUUCAUGUUAUUGUGCGUGCAGUUAUCUUUCAUAAAUGUAUUUUUUGUUAAAUCAGGUUUAAAAAAAAUAAAAUCCUCUUUCUUAUGAA